rnacentral:rRNA from 1 species
AGUAACGCGUGGGUAACCUGCCUCGUACAGGGGGAUAACAGUUAGAAAUGACUGCUAAUACCGCAUGAGCGCACAGUGCUGCAUGGCACAGUGUGAAAAACUCCGGUGGUAUGAGAUGGACCCGCGUCUGAUUAGCUAGUUGGUGGGGUAACGGCCUACCAAGGCGACGAUCAGUAGCCGCCUGAGAGGGUGACCGCCACAUUGGGACUGAGACACGGCCCAA